GACCGCGUAGCUCAGUUGGAAGAGCAUUGGGCUAGUAUUCCAAAGGUCGUAGGUUCGAAUCCCACUGUGGCCG